CAGUCGCCACGGGAAUACAGAGGGUGCAAGCGUUAAUCGGAAUUACUGGGCGUAAAGCGCGCGUAGGUGGUUUGUUAAGUUGGAUGUGAAAUCCCCGGGCUCAACCUGGGAACUGCAUCCAAAACUGGCAGGCUAGAGUAGGGCAGAGGGUGGUGGAAUUUCCUGUGUAGCGGUGAAAUGCGUAGAUAUAGGAAGGAACACCAGUGGCGAAGGCGACCACCUGGGCUCAUACUGACACUGAGGUGCGAAAGCGUGGGGAGCAAACAGGAUUAGAUACCCCCGUAGUCCCUGUCUCUUAUAC
rnacentral:rRNA from 1 species